ACGUAGGUGGCAAGCGUUGUCCGGAAUAACUGGGCGUAAAGCGCAUGUAGACGGCAUGAUAAGCCAAAUGUGAAAUGUAGGGGCUCAACCCCUGCACUGCGAUUGGAACUGUCAAGCUUGAGUGCAGGAGAGGCAAAUGGAAUUCCCAGUGUAGCAGUGAAAUGCGUAGAGAUUGGGAGGAACACCAGUGGCGAAGGCGAUUUGCUGGACUGCAACUGACGUUGAGAUGCGAAAGCCAGGGGAGCAAACGG
rnacentral:rRNA from 1 species